rfam:Achromatium sp. WMS2 contig-183_155, whole genome shotgun sequence.
CAAGAAGUCAGCAGAGGCCAUAGUAGCGUUGAUACUUGCUGAAAGGCAGGAGGAGCGAAGGGC